UUUUGCUAGGUUUUCAUUUGUUAAGUCCUUAAUUUUGAUAAUUGACAAAUUGUAUUUUGGGGAUCAGUUGCUACCACUUAGGGAACAGAUUGGGCUCACCUGUCACUAUUACUGUCAACUGUCACACCUGACGCAAGUACAAAAAUUGGUGAAAAAACUGUUACCACCUUUUUGUCUCAGUCAAUGGGAUUGCUCUUAGGUUUUCUUGUGUCAUACUAUGUAUUGCUCAUCUUCCUCAACAAGACAACCAGCGCUUCCAUAUUCUCACAUCAAAAUAUCUUUCUGAAGCUGAAUAAAAGACUCCAUUUGCAACAGGGAACUGAUAGCUCAUAAAGUUGGAUUUUAUUUCCUUGUUGUAUUUGAUCUUUGUACUGUGUUCUUAAACGUUUGCCUACAUUUGCUCAUUAAGUGUGGCAAGGGAAAAGCUGGAUCAAUGCAGCAAGUGUUCAACAUCACAACUCUUGAAGAUACUGAUUGCAUUCCCAGGAGGAGUGGUGGAAAGUCCCACUCCCUAGUAUCUUAAUUGAUGGAUGAACAGAAGAGAUCGAAGGAAGAAAUAGAGACUCUGACUACCAUGAUUGCUCUAAGGGAUGCCGAGAUUGUUGUAUUGAAAUUUGCUUUGGCAAAAGGAGGUGAAGUGAGAACAAGGUAUGAAAAGGAAUUAUGCACUGAAAAUGCUGCCCUGCAAGAAAGGGUAAACGAG
rnacentral:lncRNA from 1 species